AGUGGAUAGAGGGGACGUUCUCCGGCGUGGUUGACUCCGGCGGGCCGGUGGCUACCCAGUUGUGCAUGUACUCAAUAACCCCGGAUGAGGAUUUUGUGAUUGAUUUCUUGGGUGGGGAGUUUGGGAAGGAUGUGGUGGUGGGCGGGGGGUUUUCGGGUCACGGGUUCAAGAUGUCGCCGGUGGUGGGGAGGAUUUUGGCUGACCUUGCGCUUACUGGGGAGGCUGAAGGAGUGGAGCUGAAGCAGUUUAGGAUAGCAAGGUUUCAAGAGAAUCCCAAAGGCAAUGCCAAAGACUUUCUGUAAAUGCACGCAACAAACCUCUGCAAAUUUUUUAUAUACAGAAUAAGACAAAGAAGAGUGUGAGGGGUAAUAGUAGGGAAGAGAAUC
rnacentral:lncRNA from 1 species